rnacentral:rRNA from 1 species
UACGUAGGGGCUAGCGUUGUCCGGAUUUAUUGGGCGUAAAGAGCGUGUAGGCGGCCAGGUAGGUCUGCUGUGAAAACUCGAGGCUCAACCUCGAGACGUCGGCGGAAACCAUCUGGCUAGAGUCCGGAAGAGGAGAGUGGAAUUCCGGGUGUAGCGGUGGAAUGCGUAGAGAUCCGGAAGAACACCGGUGGCGAAGGCGGCCUGCUGGGCAGUAGCUGACACUGAGGCGCGACACG